rnacentral:rRNA from 1 species
GCUUACGGCCAUACCACCCUGAAUGCACCUGAUCUUGUCUGAUCUCGGAAGCUAAGCAGGGUCAGGCCUGGUUAGUACUUGGAUGGGUGACCACCUGGGAAUACCAGGUGCUGUAAGCU